rnacentral:rRNA from 1 species
GACGAACGCUGGCGGCGUGCUUAACACAUGCAAGUCGAACGGUAAGGCCCUUCGGCGUACACGAGUGGCGAACGGGUGAGUAACACGUGGGUGAUCUGCCCUGCACUUCGGGAUACGCCUGGGAAACUGGGUCUAAUACCGGAUAGGACCACUGCCUACAUGGUGGGUGGUGGAAAGCUUUUGCGGCGUGGGAUGGGCGCGCGGCCUAUCAGCUUGUUGGUGGGGUGAUGGCCUACCAAGGCGACGACGGGUAGCCGGCCUGAGAGGGUGACCGGCCACACUGGGACUGAGAUACGGCCCAGACUCCUACGGGAGGCAGCAGUGGGGAAUAUUGCACAAUGGGCGCAAGCCUGAUGCAGCGACGCCGCGUGAGGGAUGACGGCCUUCGGGUUGUAAACCUCUUUCAGCACCGACGAAGCGCAAGUGACGGUAGGUGCAGAAGAAGGACCGGCCAACUACGUGCCAGCCGCCGCAGUAA